CUUAAAUUGAAGAGUUUGAUCAUGGCUCAGAUUGAACGCUGGCGGCAGGCCUAACACAUGCAAGUCGAGCGGAAACGAGUUAUCUGAACCU
rnacentral:rRNA from 2 species